CUGUGGGUGACACCUGGCAGUUGGAGGUCCUCAGGGGAGGGGCCCGGCCACUUGUGUGCCUCAAGUGGCUUUCAGUGCUCACAUCCGAUCUGAAAGCAUUGUGAAGGAUUGGAAGAGGGGUCUCAAGAUGGCUUUCGUGAUGCCUAAACCACAAUUGGUAUUUCGAUAAAAAUCAGUGGGACUGCUGAAAAGAAGUAUCAGAAGGAUUUCUAAAAAUACCACAUCAUUGUGAAAGUGUUCAGAUUUGAAAAUGAAGUGUGCCCAUAGAAACUGCAUCCCGCUGCAAACCAAUUCGUCUCAGUUUUGAGGAGCAGAGAACAUUGCUCGGCGAGAGUCGUGACAGCAACACCUUACCCCUGACUCGCAAACUCGCUUGAACAAAAACCAAGAGCCCAGAGGUCGACAGAGAGAAAAUUCAAGUUUUAGUUUCGAGACAGUGAUAACAAGCGUACACCUUAAAAUGUGACUGUGUUCUCUGGGUCUCGUAGCUGGCGUACGUACUGUGGGAGCACACAGACAGUCUCUCAGCCGUAUGGAAGGAGGAAGAGGAGGAAAGGAAGAGCUAGAAGGGAGCAGCUGACACGAGUCCACCAAAAACAGCUUCUCCA